GCAUUUUUCCGAUUUUUUUUUAUUUAUUAGUAAUUUGCAGUACAAUUUUUCAACAGUCUCCGGAUUCAACGUGAAGACUUAACUGCUGCAACCAUUAACGCAUAAGGAACCGCAUUUUCUUCGGAAUUUAUCGUCUCGUCCUUCGUCGUCAAGGAUAAGUUGAUUGAUGCUCCUUUUUUAAGGCGGAACGCCGAAAAGCUACGAAAAAAUCCAAAAAACGCUCAUCCGGAUGGAACAGCGACCAAACGUAAGUUUGACAAAACCAAACCGGCCUAGGAAGAAUCUUCCGGAAAGGCUGCUCGCCGGGAGCUGGAAAAAUCUUAAAAAUAAAACGACAGCGAUGAGGAAGAGGGGCAAACCUUUGAGGCCGCUGGAAGAAAUUUCAACUUCGAUGAUGAGAACGAUUCGGGAUUGGCCGGAACGGCCCAGAUCAAGGCGCUUCGGCUAAGAAGUAUUUGAGGGAGGUAGAGGAAUACACUGUUCGAUUGGCUGGUUACAUCCGCCAGUAAAAUCAAUCAAAAAUGAAAAAAAACGCCAUUCCUAAAAGUUCAGAGCAGAACCGGAAAACAAAGUUUUGCUUUACUGGAAAGCCAAUCGGGACCAGAGAAACCAGAGUGUUGAACAAACAAGAAAUACAAUAUUAAAAAAAUGAAACAUUGUUUUUUUUUCUAAGUUUUUAUCUACAAUUUUGAAAAUUUCCACAUUUGCUAUUCUGCUUUCCGAAUUACGAUUCAAAAAUAACCAUUUUUCUACCUCUAGGUUGCUGUCUCUUACGAUUGAAAAAUAACCAUAUUUGAACU